UACGAAGGGGGCAAAUGUUGUUCGGAAUCACUGGGCGUAAAGGGAGCGUAGGCGGGCUUUUAAGUCAGGUGUUUAAUCCCGGGGCCCAACCCCGGACAGGCACUUGAAACUGGGAAUCUUGAAUAGUGGAGAGGUCAGUGGAAUUGGGGGUGUAGCGGUGGAAUGCGUAGAGAUCCCCAAGAACACCCGUUGCGAAGGCGGCUGACUGGACACAUAUUGACGCUGAGGCUCGAAAGCAUGGGGAGCAAACAGG
rnacentral:rRNA from 1 species